AUGUUCUUGGUAGCUGAAGCAGCAAGAAAACAAAGAGCUUCAUUAUUCUGGAUUUUGAAAGGUUCAUAAAAGAACAGGCAUUGAAGUAUCUUCAGAAAGUAUUGAUCAAUCUUCAUGAUCCAUUCCGUGGCGAGCUGGGAAAAAAAAUGCAGUUGCUAAUCAAUGUCUGAACAGUCUGAAGCUCCACAAGAGAUCCAAGGAGUCACUGUCAAACUAUCCUGUAGCAUGAGAUCAUUGCACACAGAAGAACAGUCAUAAAAUAGGCAACUAUCUACAAAGGUCAGAAAGGGGCACGUCUCUCUUGUGUUUCCUCUUUUUGACAGUGAAACACUGAUGUGAUUUGCUGCCUUGAUGCUGUUUGUUUGUCCCAGAGGUACCGUGGUUUGAGUUUGUUGGACCCGGGAAGCCUUUGCUGGAAGAAGAGCGAAAUAACCUUGCUGAUCCAUGCUGUAAAAGAAAAAGGACAUGGUAUUUUACAGAUGAAAAGGAGGCAAAAGAAUGUGAUUGUACUCCUAUCAGGGAGAGCACUUUUCAUACAAAUAUAGAGGUACAUUAUGCCAGUUAUGUGUUUUCUAGCAAAACAAUUCAUUAGAAUAAAUAGGAAUUAUAUGAAGAGCUUCCCCUUACACAAACCUGAGAUAUGUAAUAAAUGAUUGGUUAUGCCUAUAUUGCUACACUGUGUACCUAUACAAAAAGAGAAAAAAAAUCUAAUC